UUCUUAUAUACGUCUUAAAGACAUCUUUAAAAAGACAAGAAAAUAUUUGCUUGGUUUCGUAUGACGUCUUUAGUGCGUCAAUCUUUUACUUUCGGUAUAAUAUUUUAAAUAGCACUCUUUAAAACGUCUUAAAAACGUCUUCAGUAAGACUGCAUUGGCGUGAUAAUAUUUCGUGUCUCAUAAACUUAAUAAGCUUUUUUAUAAAGUUUAAAAGUUUUCUUUGACUUACGUUGGAUUUCUAAACUUCGACUUAUAUAUCUUUUUUAACAUUAUUCAAUGAAACUGAAAAUCGAAUGAAGCGUCGUCGCCUGAAUAAAAGUAUGUUAGAUUUUAUAAUGACGCAACAUGAAGUUAUCGAUAUUAGCACUAAUAUGAAUCGUGAACGUAAUGCUUCUUAUGAGCAUGAAACACCUUGUGAAGCCCCUGCUAAUAUUCAAGAAGAAAGUGCAUUAAAACAUUCAAAAAAUUUUGAAUGUUUUAAUGCACCAACACUAUUGAAAACAGAAACAUUAUCACAAGGUUUGGCAAAGUGGUCGUCAAAAAGUAACAUUUCUCAAAGUAAUUUAAAGGAACUUUUGAAUAUUCUCAGAAGGCAUGGUCAUUCAGAGUUGCCAAAAGAUGGAAGAUCCCUUUUAAAAUCCUCUAAAGUUUUUACAGGUGAUAGGAAGUGUGGCGGAACUUAUGCAUAUUUUACCAUUGCUGAUGGCUUAAAUUAUUUUUUGAAUACCAAUAAAGAUUCUCAAAAUACUGAAUUAUCUGUUGCUGUUAAUGUUAAUGGACUACCUCUUUUUAAAUCUUCUAAUCUUCAACUAUGGCCAAUACUUGGUUUAAUAGAGAACUAUAUUUUUAUAAUUGCACUUUUCUGUGAAAAUGUUUUCAACCAUCAUGAUUUGGGCAAGUACUGUAUGGAUAGAAAAUUAUGAGGAAAUAGAAGAUGUUGUGCCAAGAAGGUGGAUAAAUACAGAAAAAAAAAUACUAUUUUGGCCUUCUGGUAUAUCUUAUCAUAGAGCUGUCAAUGAUGAAAUGGAUGCAGAUGAAACAUGGGACAAAUAUAAACUUAUCAAAAUCAAAUUUGAGAGUGAUAAUAUAAAUGAGCUAAAAGAAUAUGGUUACACAACAGCAGCAUAGGAGGAGGAUGAAAUAGAUAAUUGUUUUAUAAGUUCCAAAGGCACAUUUAAAGUGAAAAGUAAUGUUUAUGGUAUAAUUAAAAAUUUGCUUACAAUUUAUUUUUAAUAUCAAAUGUAAAUACAAUAACAAGAAUUAAUUAUAUAGAUAUUAUAUUUUAAAGUUACUAGAUUUUCUGUUGCCUCCACCAGUUUUGCAAUCCAUACCAACAAAAUCAUUAAAGAGAUCAUUUGAUUUUAAUUUGUCACCUGGAUCAAUUAUUUUAAAACAAUCAAAUAUUUGUUCUGCUUUGCCUGACUCUUUACCUUUACACACUGAGGAACAAUCAACUUCGUAUUCUGAGUCACUGUCUUUGCCUAACUUCUUUUACCUUCAAAAUCAACUGAAAAGGAACAAUCAAAUUUUUUUACAGAAUACCAGCAUAUGAUGUUCAAGAUGGUAUCAAAAAUUCUUGAAAAUCAGGAGCUAAUUAUUGCUGUAAAUAAACAACCCCAUAGUAAUUUGACAGUUAAGCAAUUAGAGACUAUAGCAGAAUACAAAGAUUUUCUCAAAUAUUUAGAGGAUGAUUCAGUUCGCCUUGGUUAAACAACUGAGUUUUUUAGGCGCAAAAGAUUAUAAACAGCUGAUAAGAUUGGUUAUGAAUAGAUUAUUUACAAAUACCCUAUUGGCGCAGUUUAAUUUAAAAGGUUCUGGUGGAAAAAUUGGUUUAUUAUCAACGAAGCUAUAUGAUGUAUUAGAAGAAUUAAAAGAGUACUGUAGGCAAAGCACCAUCAACCUGUUGGGCGAUGAACUAAUCCAUUACUUUAUUUAAUACCUAACCCAGUGGACACGGACGUAAAAAAGACGUCUUUUAAACGUCGUAUACACGUUUUGGACGUCUUUUGGACGUUCAAAAGACGUCUUUUUUUGGUCCGGUGCACACUGGGAAAAAAAGGUCUUUUUUCAGAUAUAUAAUAAAGUAGUGGAUAAAAGGCAAAACUUAUUACGGAUAUUUUAAGCGUUCAGAAAAUAUGACUUGGAUAACUUUAA
rnacentral:misc_RNA from 1 species